UACGUAGGGUGCGAGCGUUGUCCGGAAUUAUUGAGCGUAAAGGGCUCGUAGGCGGUCUGUUGCGUCGGGAGUGAAAACUCAGGGCUUAACCCUGAGCCUGCUUCCGAUACGGGCAGACUAGAGUGCGGUAGGGGAGACUGGAAUUCCUGGUGUAGCGGUGAAAUGCGCAGAUAUCAGGAGGAACACCGGUGGCGAAGGCGGAUCUCUGGGCCUUACCUGACGCUGAGGAGCGAAAGCAUGGGGAGCAAACAGG
rnacentral:rRNA from 1 species